UGUGCAUGUUGCAUAUUUAUGUGUACAGUUUCCGAUGUUUUCUGAUUAUGCUUUAGAAAUGAUUGAAUUUCUUGAAUAAUGUUGCUGUUUUAGGAGAUGAUUUGGUUUGGGAUUUUAAUUAUUUCAUAUUUAAUUUUUGAUUGAUCAAUGUCAAGGUUGUUCUCUUUUGUCAUAAUUUUUGAAUGAUCAAAUUAUUGAAAUUCUGUUUUGCAUACUAAAUCAAAUUCAACACCUCAUGCUUCGAACUUUAAAUGUUGCUAUUGUCUGUUUGAUUAUUCGUUAUGAGAUGAAUAACUCUUUCUCUGUUUUUGAAAUUGCAAUAAUAUUUUUGAAUUGAGGGUUGCACUGAUUUAGGGGGAGUCUUUCUGAUUUUGGUUAUAAAAGUUUUUGAGAGUCAAGAUGUGGAAAGAGUUACAUUCCUACUGGGAGUGUGAAAA
rnacentral:lncRNA from 1 species